GUGCGCUAACCCGCGCGUGCGGCCUUCGUUCCGUUCCAGUCCGACUCGGAGUCAGCCUCAGACUUGAAGUAACGCCCGGGGAAGGUAGAGACCAGAGAAAAGCUGACGACGGCGUGAAGUCUGUCGGUCGCCGUGGGGAGCGGAUCGGGGCGGUCCCCGAGGACGGAGUGAGAGGUAUAUGCGGAUGGUGAAAAUCUGUUUAUGGAGCACUAUGUGUUGGGCACUUUUAUAAGCACUUUACAUGGGGACCUACUGUAAUCCGCAGCUGUGCGGUUUGCACUACUAACAAGAGAAGUGAAGCACCGAGAUGCUGAGUGUCCUGCCCGAGGCUUCGUGUCUAGUAAGUGGAACCCGGAGUCCUGGCCCUGGUGAUAGAGGACAGCUGCAGAGACUGCCCUCCUUACUUGUUGCCCAGAAUGACCGAGAACUGACAUACAAGGGCCUAAGGCUUCCAAAACUCCUGAAAAAGUAGUGCGACCUCCAUGUUAAAGACCCGUUUCUCCAGCUGCCUCCUCUAAAGCUCCCAAGAGUGAGAGCUUAGGGGUCACAUAGCCCAAAGAGCCUGACCUGCCUGGGGACCCAGCGUCUAUGGGGAGCCUCUUCCAUUGCCACCCACAAACAUCUUCUGUACCCAUCACUUAUUGAUUCCCACCUCUCCCAAUGAAAAAUUUCCUUCCUUUGAAAAAUGUUCCUAUAGGGGUGCUCGGGUGGCUCAGUCGGUUAAACAGCUGCCUUCGGCUCAGGUCAUGAUCCCAGGGUGCUGGGAUCAAGUCCCGCAUCAGGCUUCCUACGCAGUGGGGAGCCUGCUUCUCCCUUUGCCUGCCGCUCCCCCUACUUGUGCUGUCAAAUAAAUAAAAUCUUUAAAAAAAAAUGAAAAAGGUUCCUAUAGUUUCUACCUCUGCCCCACUCCCGUUCUCCCACUUUGAGCUGCCCAUCCCGCCAUGCUGCACCUUUGACUCUCCACACGUUUCUUUUCAGUGGUCAUAUAAACAUACUCAUGCCAGACUCUUCAUUGGCCAGAUCAACACCUUGCUCAAACCUCCUUUGUUUUGCCUACCUCCACUUUAGAGGCUGGAAGAGUAUUUAUUUUUUCAGCCUCCUUUGUUACUGGCCUCCAUAUAACGCAGCUGUGGUCAGUGAGAUGUAAGCUGAAGUUUGCUGAGGGGCUUCUGGGACAACCUUUCUUGAUAAAAGGCACAGAUGUGCUGGUGCUUCCCAUCCCCGUUCUUCCUACCUUGAAUGCACAUACUUUACCUGAAGCAGAGCAGCCAUCAUGUGACCAUGGUGGAAAAGCCAUGGAACUAAAGACAUUGAAUUAAUUUUGUCUUUGAAACGAUGCCACCCACCUCCAGAUUUGUUAUGUGAGGGAAAAAAAAAAUCCCUGCUUGCUUGUAAGCCUUGUUAACUGGGCUUUCCAGUAUUUGUAGCCAUAAAUCUCUUCUGAUAGAUACACCCGCUCUCCAUGCUGGUCUCCCUCUAGUUAUCUUUCUCAGUGUCUCCUUUCUCAGGUAAGUGAAUGAGUCCUUUUCAGCCUUUAACUUACUCUUCAACCCACUAAUAUUUAACAGAGGUUAUCAGUAACCAAAACCAAAGGCCAUUUUUAAUUAUCUUACUUUAACCCUCCACGGCAUAUGAAAAUACUAACUAUUCUUACCUUAUGUGAAAUUCUUUUACUUUUGUGCCACCAUCUUCUAAUUUUUCCUUUUGCGUUUCAUUUUCGUUUUGGUUGCUGUUUCCUCUCAGCUCUCACUGGUUCCACUUCCUCCACUUCCCCCAUUCAGUGACAGUACUCUCAGAAUACCCUUCACACCUGCCCUGCCACUUAGUCUAGUGUCUGUCAGGAAUUUUCACUUGGAUUCCCACAGACUCAUUAAAAUGCCCCCAGACUGAACUUACCAUUUCCCCACAAAAUCGGUCAACUUUGUGUGUUCUUAAUUAUGGUACUCCAUCCACCCAAAUAAAUUCAGGUUCCUACAUUUAAUCAAUUACCACAUUAUCUAGAUUCUGCCUCAUUAUUGCUUGAAUUCUUCCUUUCCUCUCCCAUGCCACAGCCAGUGUUUUAGUUUAGCCCUUGAAAAGCAAAGAAUAUAUCUUAUCCAUUUUGAUCUUCUCAUCAUAUUUAUCACAUAUUUAGCACUUAUUAUGUGUGAAAUAAAUGAAAUUGUCUUAACUACUGUCAUCACUAGAGAUCUAUAAAACCUACGAUUGUUUUGAAUACAUUUUGAGUUGCAAAGAUUUUGUUAAUAUGUCACAUUUUCAUGUCUAUUAGUGUUUAACCCUUUCUCCUUUUCACUUUGAUACAGAGUAUGGUACAAAGAUACAUAUUUGAAUCCUAUGUACUUAGAGACUAUAUUUAAGUUAUACUGUUUUCUAAAUAAUUAGCUUACUUAACAGUAGUUUAAUGACUGUUAGUUGAGAACUCAAAAUAGCAUGCUAUUGCAUUAAGAUCUGUACAAUUGUUUCAUCACCCGGGUAGCAACCAGCCUAAGUUUUAGGGGAGAAAAUAACAGUGCAGGAGGAGGGGGAGGGACAUGGAUGGAUAAUACUAGGAUUUGGUAGAGGUAGAGAAUUUUGACUCAAAACAUCCAGGUAAACCAGAUUGUGAAAUAGGAGCAUCUAGGUAACAUUUAUAACAUGGUAAAAGAUCAAGGAUUUCCCAGUAUUGGUUAUAUUUAUAGGUUUAUAGCAUUUUAGAGCUAAUAGGGAUCCUGGAGACCUUCUAAAUUCAAAAUCCCUCAUUUACCAAAUAAGGACACUGUGACCUGGUGAAAGUAGGUGACUUGUCUAAGUUAGUGGCAGAUCAGGACUACAUACCAAGUCUUUGGGCUGUCCAGUUUAGCACUCUCACCUUUU